AUUGAACGCUGGCGGCGGGCCUAACACAUGCAAGUCGAGCGAGCGGCGGACGGGUGAGUACUGUAUGGGGACUGCGCGUAAGAGGGGGAUAACAACUGGAAACGGUGGCUAAUACCGCAUACUAUCGGAUAACCCAUAUGGGAUUAGCUAGUAGGUAAGGUAAUGGCUUACCUAGGCGACGAUCCCUAGCUGGUCUGAGAGGAUGAUCAGCCACACUGGGACUGAGACACGGCCCAGACUCCUACGGAGGCAGCAGUGGGGAAUAUUGCGCAAUGGGCGCAAGCCUGAUGCAGUCAUGCCGCGUGUAUGAAGAAGGCCCUAGGGUUGUAAAGUACUUUCAGUCGGGAGGCGUUACCUACAGAAGAAGCACCGGCUAACUCCGUGCCAGCAGCCGCGGUAAUUC
rnacentral:rRNA from 1 species